rnacentral:rRNA from 1 species
UACGUAGGUGGCAAGCGUUACUCGGAAUCACUAGGCGUAAAGCGCGGGUAGGCGGUUGGGUAAGUCUCUUGUGAAAGCUCCCGGCUUAACUGGGAGAGGUCAAGGGAAACUACCUGGCUAGAGGGCGGUAGAGGAAGCUGGAAUUCCUGGUGUAGCGGUGAAAUGCGUAGAUAUCGGAAGGAACACCUGUGGCGAAAGCGGCUCACUGGACCAUUACUGACGCUGAUGCACGAAAGCUAGGGGAGCAAACAGG